rnacentral:rRNA from 1 species
CUCACCAGGUCAGGACACGGUAAGGAUUGACGGACUGAAGGCUCUUUCUCGAUUCCGUGGAAAGUGGUGCAUGGCCGUUUUUGGUUGGUGGAUCGAUCCGUCUGGUUAAUUCCGUUAACGAACGAGACCUCGGCACUCCGAAUAGCGCGGCGGACGUCGCGGCCUCCGGGCCGUCUUCCGCACGAGCUUCUUAGAGGGACCGUCCCCCCGCCGGGGGAAGGAGGUGCGAGGCAACGACAGGUCUGUGAUGCCCUUAGAUGUUCUGGGCCGCACGCGCAUUACACUGACGCGUCCAACGGGUGACUCCCGACCCGAAGGGGCCGGGGAAUCCGCAAGGCGCGUCGUGAUGGGGAUUGAACGUUGCAAUUGUUGUUCACGAACGAGGAAUUCCUAGUAGGCGCGGGUCAUCAACCCGCGCCGAUUACGUCCCUGCCCUUUUGUACACACC